rnacentral:rRNA from 1 species
AUGGCUGUGAUGCAAGAGGAGUUUGACGCCCUGUUGCGCAACCAGGCGUGGCAGCCUGUUCCCCGUCCCCGGCACGCCAACGUGAUUACCGGGAAGUGGGUCUUUAAACACAAGCUCCGUCCUGAUGGUACCCUUGAUCGCUACAAAGCGCGCUGGGUCGUUCAUGGCUUCCGACAGCGUGCUGGCAUCGACUUCACCGACACCUUCGCUCCGGUUGUCAAGCCCGGCACGAUACGCACGGUUCUCCACCUUGCGGUCUCCCGUGCUUGGCCGGUGCACCAGAUGGACGUCUCCAACGCCUUCCUCCAUGGUCACCUCGAGGGGCAGGUCUUCUGCCAGCAGCCCACCGGGUUUGUUGACCCGGCGCUUCCCGACCACGUGUGCCUGCUUUCGCGGUCCUUGUACGGACUCAAGCAGGCUCCGCGCGCUUGGUACCAGCACAUCGCGGCGUUUCUCCACCAGCUUGGGUUCCGCUCUACCCGCUCGGAUGCCUCGCUCUUCGUCAAUCAUCAGGGCUCUGACACGGCCUACUUGCUGCUUUAUGUCGACGACAUCAUCCUGACGGCAUGUACGGCUGGUCUCCUCAGUCAGCUCACGGCUCGUCUUCGUGCUGAGUUCGCCAUCAAGGACUUGGGUCCUUUGCACUACUUCCUCGGUAUCGAGGUGGUGCACCGUCCGGAUGGCUUCUUCCUUCAUCAGCGGAAGUAUGCUCACGAGCUCCUCGAGCGCGCUGGCAUGCUUAACUGUAAGCCCGCCGCUACGCCUGUUGAUACGAAGGCCAAGCUUUCUGCCACGGUUGGUUCUCCUGCUUCGGAUGCUGCUUUCUAUCGGUCUAUCGUUGGUGCUCUCCAGUACCUCACUCUGACUCGACCGGAGAUCCAGUAUGCCGUGCAGCAGGUGUGUCUUCAUAUGCAUGCUCCUCGAGACGUUCACUGGGAUGUUGUCAAGCGGACUCUCCGCUAUAUCUGUGGCACUAUGGAUCUUGGCGUCACGCUUCACGCCUACUCCAAUGCAGACUGGGCGGGCUGCCCUGACACUCGUCGCUCCACUUCGGGCUAUUGUGUCUAUCUUGGACCCUCACUCAUCUCGUGGUCGUCCAAGCGGCAGCCUACGGUUUCUCGUUCCAGUGCUGAGGCUAAGUAUCGUGCGGUAGCCAACGCCAUCGCCGAGUGUUCGUGGCUUCGCCAACUGCUUCAGGAGCUCUCUUGCCCUGUUGAUCGUGCCACGGUGGUCUACUGCGACAACGUCUCGGCGGUCUACCUCUCCGCUAACCUGGUGCAUCAUCGACGGACCAAGCAUAUUGAGUUGGAUAUUCAUUUUGUUCGGGAACAGGUUGCCCUUGGCCAUAUUCGUGUUUUGCAUGUCCCUACUUCCCAACAAUUUGCCGAUAUCAUGACCAAGGGCUUGCCUACGGCGUCAUUUGAGGAGUUCCGGUCCAGUCUUUGCGUCAGCCGCGGUGCCGCUUCGACUGCGGGGGAGUGA